ensembl:lncRNA
GUGGUAUUUAAUAGUGGUAUAUAGGUAUUAGUUGGUGGUAUAUAAUAGUGGUAUAUAUGUGUUAGUUUGUGGUAUAUAAUAGUUUUAUAUAGGUGUUAGUUGGUGGUAUAUAAUAGCAGUUUUUAGGUGUUAGUUGGUGGUAUAUAAUAGUGGUAUAUAGGUCUUAGUUGGUGGUUUCUAAUAGUGGUAUAUAGGUGUUAUUUGGUGGUAUAUAAUAGUGGUAUAUAAUUGUGGUAUAUAGGUGUUAGUUGGUUGAUUAUAAUAGUUUUAUAUAGGUGUUAGUUGGAGGUAUAUAAUAGUGGUAUGUAGGUGUUAGUUGGUGGUAUAUAAUAGUUGUAUAUAGGUGUUAGUUGGUGGUAUAUAAUAGUAAUAUAUAAGUGUGGAAUGCAGGUGUUAGUUGGUGCUAUAUAAUAGUUGUAUGUUGGUGUUAGUUGGUGGUAUAUAAUAGUGGUAUAGAGGUGUUAGUUGCUGUUAUAUUAUAGUUGUAUAUAAUAUUAAUAUAUGUGUGUUAGUUGGUGGUAUAUAAUAGUGGUAUUUAAUAGUGGUAUAUAGGUAUUAGUUGGUGGUAUAUAAUAAUGGUAUAUAGGUGUUAGUUUGUGGUAUAUAAUAGUUUUAUAUAGGUGUUAGUUGGUGGUAUAUAAUAUUGGUAUAUAAUAGUGGUAUAUAGAUGUUAGUCUGUGGUAUAUAAGUAGUAUGUAGGUGUUAGUUGGUGGUAUAUAAUAGUGGUAUAUAGGUGUUACUUGGUGGUGUAUAAUAGUGGUAUAUAAUGGUUGUAUAUAGAUGUUAGUUGGUGGUAUAUAAUAUUGGUAUUUCAUAGUGGUAUAUAGGUGUUAGUUGGAGGUAUAUUAUAGUGUUAUAGAAUAGUGGUAUGUACGUGUUAGUUGGUGGUGUAUUAUAGUUGUAUAUAAUAUUGGUAUAUAUUUGUUAGUAAAUUGUAUAUAAUAGUGGUAUAUAAUAAUAGUGGCAUAUAGGUGUUAUUUGGUGGUAUAUAAUAGUGGUAUAUAGGUGUUAGUUUGUGGUAUAUAAUAAUGGAAUGCAGGUGUUAGUUGGUGCUAUAUAAUAGUG